UACGAGGGGUCCAAGCGUUGCUCGGAAUCAUUGGGCGUAAAGCGGGUGUAGGUGGCUUUGUAAGUCAGGAGUGAAAGCCCUGGGCUUAACCCAGGAAGUGCUUUUGAUACUGCGAAGCUUGAGUGUGGGAGAGGAUCGUGGAAUUCCAGGUGUAGUGGUGAAAUACGUAGAUAUCUGGAGGAACACCGGUGGCGAAGGCGAGUCCCUGGACAACUCCUGACACUGAGGCACGAAAGCU
rnacentral:rRNA from 1 species